GCCUUGUGUUAAAUCCCUCAGAUUUCUUCUAAGGGACAAAAUUUCCCACAUUAGCUGAAAUCAUGAGGAUUUGGAACGUUUUUGCCUGGCUGUUCAUCUUGAUUCUUUGCUUUGGGACUUUCUCAGCUGAUGGUGCACGGUCAAGAAUGAGAAGAAAAUGCUUGUGCAAAAUGAAGAAACAUCUGCCUGUGAUGGACAGAAAGAUAAUCGGACAGCACAAGAAAUGUUUCUGUAAACUUCAUAAAGCAAGCAUACUUCCCAAUUAUGUUUUUAUUCCUGGACCACUGCCUCAAGUGUGAAGGGAAGACUUAGACAAAU